rnacentral:rRNA from 1 species
GAUGAACGCUGGCGGCGUGCCUAAUACAUGCAAGUCGAGCGAACAGACGAGGAGCUUGCUCCUCUGACGUUAGCGGCGGACGGGUGAGUAACACGUGGAUAACCUACCUAUAAGACUGGGAUAACUUCGGGAAACCGGAGCUAAUACCGGAUAAUAUAUUGAACCGCAUGGUUCAAUAGUGAAAGACGGUUUUGCUGUCACUUAUAGAUGGAUCCGCGCCGCAUUAGCUAGUUGGUAAGGUAACGGCUUACCAAGGCAACGCUGCGUAGCCGACCUGAGAGGGUGAUCGGCCACACUGGAACUGAGACACGGUCCAGACUCCUACGGGAGGCAGCAGUAGGGAAUCUUCCGCAAUGGGCGAAAGCCUGACGGAGCAACGCCGCGUGAGUGAUGAAGGUCUUCGGAUCGUAAAACUCUGUUAUUAGGGAAGAACAAAUGUGUAAGUAACUAUGCACGUCUUGACGGUACCUAAUCAGAAAGCCACGGCUAGCUACGUG